GUUGACCUCGGAUCAGGUAGGGAUACCCGCUGAACUUAAGCAUAUCAAU
rnacentral:rRNA from 38 species